UUUAACAGUGAAGUACAGUGCUUUGUGGUAUAGUGUCCCUUUUUUCCAAUAGGUGCUGAAUUUUGGGUUUCCAGCUUCUACAAAGAAUAGCUAGUCAACAGAACAUUGACAUCUUUGCUGCUGAUUGCCAUGUGACUCUCACCUGGUUGCCCCCAUAUUCAGCAGACCCCAUGGAUCACCUCCCUAGAACUUUCUCAGGAGAUAAGUGAGUGUCUGGACAGAUUUUUCAUGUGACAACCUUG